rnacentral:rRNA from 1 species
GAUAUGUGAAUACAUAGCAUAUCAGAAGGCACACCCGGAGAACUGAAACAUCUUAGUACCCGGAGGAAGAGAAAGAAAAUUCGAUUCCCUUAGUAGCGGCGAGCGAAACGGGAAGAGCCCAAACCAACAAGCUUGCUUGUUGGGGUUGUAGGACACUCUAUACGGAGUUACAAAGGACGACAUUAGACGAAUCAUCUGGAAAGAUGAAUCAAAGAAGGUAAUAAUCCUGUAGUCGAAAAUGUUGUCUCUCUUGAGUGGAUCCUGAGUACGACGGAGCACGUGAAAUUCCGUCGGAAUCUGGGAGGACCAUCUCCUAAGGCUAAAUACUCUCUAGUGACCGAUAGUGAACCAGUACCGUGAGGGAAAGGUGAAAAGCACCCCGGAAGGGGAGUGAAAUAGAACCUGAAACCGUGUGCUUACAAGUAGUCAGAGCCCGUUAAUGGGUGAUGGCGUGCCUUUUGUAGAAUGAACCGGCGAGUUACGAUUUGAUGCAAGGUUAAGCAGUAAAUGUGGAGCCGUAGCGAAAGCGAGUCUGAAUAGGGCGUUUAGUAUUUGGUCGUAGACCCGAAACCAGGUGAUCUACCCUUGGUCAGGUUGAAGUUCAGGUAACACUGAAUGGAGGACCGAACCGACUUACGUUGAAAAGUGAGCGGAUGAACUGAGGGUAGCGGAGAAAUUCCAAUCGAACCUGGAGAUAGCUGGUUCUCUCCGAAAUAGCUUUAGGGCUAGCCUCAAGUGAUGAUUAUUGGAGGUAGAGCACUGUUUGGACGAGGGGCCCCUCUCGGGUUACCGAAUUCAGACAAACUCCGAAUGCCAAUUAAUUUAACUUGGGAGUCAGAACAUGGGUGAUAAGGUCCGUGUUCGAAAGGGAAACAGCCCAGACCACCAGCUAAGGUCCCAAAAUAUAUGUUAAGUGGAAAAGGAUGUGGCGUUGCCCAGACAACUAGGAUGUUGGCUUAGAAGCAGCCAUCAUUUAAAGAGUGCGUAAUAGCUCACUAGUCGAGUGACACUGCGCCGAAAAUGUACCGGGGCUAAACAUAUUACCGAAGCUGUGGAUUGUCCUUUGGACAAUGGUAGGAGAGCGUUCUAAGGGCGUUGAAGCAUGAUCGUAAGGACAUGUGGAGCGCUUAGAAGUGAGAAUGCCGGUGUGAGUAGCGAAAGACGGGUGAGAAUCCCGUCCACCGAUUGACUAAGGUUUCCAGAGGAAGGCUCGUCCGCUCUGGGUUAGUCGGGUCCUAAGCUGAGGCCGACAGGCGUAGGCGAUGGAUAACAGGUUGAUAUUCCUGUACCACCUAUA